ensembl:snoRNA SNORD115 Small nucleolar RNA SNORD115
GGGUCAAUGAUGAGAACCUUAUAUUGUCUAAAGAGAGGUGCUGACUUAAAAAUCAUGCUCAAAAGGAUUAUUUCUGAGGCCU